rnacentral:lncRNA from 1 species
AUUCGCGGGAGAGAGAGACCGAAAGAUUAGGAGCGAGGGGGGUUCGAGAGAGAUUUUGAGAGGAAGGAGAGAUUCAACAGAUUGUUUUUUAAGAGAAGAACAUAAAAUUAUCCUACUAUAGUCUGUGGAUAAUAAACUUGGCACAUUUAACUAGGCUCAGACUCAUACUCGCUUUUUAACUGAUUUACACAAAAACUCGUUACAAAAUAUCUUCAAAACUUCACUGAGAUAUUUAUAUAACUCCUAUAAUAUUAUAAAACUGAUUGAAUAAAUUUUUUAGGAUUUAUAGAGAACUUUUGAAAUUUAUACGCAAUUUAGAAGUUAAUUGUGAUCAGAAAUUAUUUAAAAAUCCAAUUUUCAUCAAAAUCAUAUUCCG